CUUUUGCCCAGGCUGGAGUGCAAUGGCGCGAUCUCGGCUCACUGCAACCUCCGCCUCCCAGGUUCAAGUGAUUCUCCCACCUCAGCCUCCCGAGUAGCUGGGAUUACAGGCAUGCGCCACCAUGCCCGGCUAAUUUUUGUAUUUUUAGUAGAGAGGGGGUUUCACCAUGUUGGCCAGGCUGGUCUGGAAGUCCUGACCUCAGGUAAUCCACCAGCCUUGGCAUCCUAAAGUGCUAGGAUUAUAGGCGUGAGCCACCGUGCCUGCCCAUAAUUUUAACAGACUCACGACCAGUUGCCGACUGCAACACCAGGAGGUCAUCUGCUGAGAUGCUACAGAAAAACAGUGGUAACCCCUUGUUAUGGGAUGAGUGGCUGCACCUCUGAUGAGACAAUGGCUGCACAGAAGCAUUUAAGACUCUGCACAGGAUCCAUCAGCCAACUGCACCACAGGAAUCACAGCUUGCAGAGUAUACA
rnacentral:lncRNA from 10 species